AACGCACAUUGCGCCCGCUAGUAUUCUGGCGGGCAUGCCUGUUCGAGCGUCAUUUCAACCCUCAAGCACUGCUUGGUGUUGGGGCGCUGCGGCCGUUACGGUCGCAGGCCCUGAAAUUUAGUGGCGGGUCUGCUGUAAUCCCGAGCGUAGUACAUUUCUCGCUUAGGGCGUUGUGGCGGGCGCUUGCCGUUAAACCCCAUUUUUUAACAUGUUGACCUCGGAUCAGGUAGGAAUACCCGCUGAACUUAA
rnacentral:misc_RNA from 1 species